GGCGGUUCGCGGGUGACGCACCCCACAAUCGGUCUCCCUCCUCUCUGGUUCUGGGUGUGUCACCUGAGAACCACA
rfam:Myotis brandtii contig203123, whole genome shotgun sequence.